ACUUUGAAUAUGACUUUUAGAAUGCUACGAAUUUCAUUAUGAUCAUAUGUAGACUUAUUUUUAAGAGCACUCUUGUUUCUUUUCAAGAAUAUGAAAUAGUCAUAUGAAUCCUUUAAAUUCUAAGUUUAUUUAUCAAUCUAUGCAUGUAUGUUUAAUCGUAAAACAAACAUGUUUAAGGCAUUUUUGAGUUAAUUAACUAAUUUAACAUAUGUGAAUUUAUUUGUCAUUCCUAAAUACGAUUUUCACCAAUAGUUUGAAUCAAACUUAUUGUUAACAAGUGUUAUCAUCAAAAUUAAAUAUGUCAUUAUUUCAACAAAUGGUUCAUUAACUAAUUCUUUGUAUGUUGAAAUAAUCAUCAACCUAAUCUUAAAAGGGGUUUACGAAUGAAUCAAAAUUUCAUACAACAACAAACCAAAUUUGAGCUUAGCUCAAGAGAUUGUACAUAAAUUGGCAAAAACAUAAAGAAUUACUGAAAUGAUGUGGUAAUUCACAAUUUUUAAGAAUGUGGUGUUACGUAACUAGAAUUAAACUAUUAAAUAUAGUCAAGGAACUUGAUUGUAUGCGCCUGAUUGACUUUUAAUAUGAUCCACAAUUAACCGAGGUUAAAUCUACACUAUAUUUUAUCCUCUCUCCUUUUCAAAAUGACUUUCUAAUAUUUCUUUUCUUUGCUCAUUAAAAUGGCACAUAGACCUAUUAAAAUACGACACGCAAUGGUGAAUAUUUUAUUUUGGAAGAAGGGGCUCAAAAUCACAUUGUUAGUUCUUCAUUAAAAUCGUGGAAAAAAGUUUUAUUUGCACAGUAUAACCCAGCUACUCCUGGUGACUCUACACAAAAUCUUCCCAGCUAGCUCAAAAAUUAUCAUGCCCUUGGCACUAUCAAUUUAAUAUAAUUUGAACUACUUCAUUUUCAAUUAGGAAAGUUUCUUAAUUAGUUGUCUAUAAUAGGUCAUGUUGACUAUAUUGAUUUUCUCAUUAUUCUACUUUAUUUAGUUUUUCUUGUUUAGAAUAUAGGCUGUAAUAUAUAUUAAGAGGACAAUGAUUAAUAAAAUUAAGCCUUUACAUAUUUCUUUUUGGUAUCAGAACCAACUAAACCCUAGCCUCCAACACUGCCUUCACAAUAGCCUAAACCCUAACCCACUAGCCACCAGCCAUAGGCCAACAACAGUCCUGCCUCUAUGCAUUCCCUGUGCAACCCAGUCCAACCAACAAUCACCAGACUCAACACUUGUAACAUCCUCUUCCCUUGUGCAGCCACCACUGCAGUCACCAGCAGCCCAACCCAACCCUCACACACAGAGCCCUUGCACAACAAGUCAUCUCGUGCAUAACCAUGCUUUGUACAGUCCAUCCUUGCGCCGUCUAGCACCGUUCAGGCCUUGCACAGGCAAGCUCUUGCACAGUCGCGCAGUCUAGCUUCGUUCAAGCCUCACACAGGCCAACGCAUACACCAUCAAGCAGUCCUGUAGGCCAGCCCAUGUGCCAUCCAGUAGCAUCAUAGUCCAGCAUAGCCGCAUAUUCCAGCAACCCCUACAUCGUCUAGUAGUCCUAUAGGCCAUCCCCUGCACUGUCUAGUACAUUUAGCAGCCGCGCAAUCUAGCACAGCCACACAGUCUAGCAACCAGUAGCCCCAUAAUCCAACAACCAGUAGUCAGUAGUCUAGCGCAGCCAUCAGUUGCACAGUGCAAUUCAGCCUCCAGUCAUUGCGUAGUCUAGUGUAGCCAGCAGUAGCUGCUCGUGCAGUCCAUAUAUCGUGAAGUCUAUAUGUCUGAUAGUAUGACACUUUAAAAAAAAUAUAUUCUCCUUUGAUUUCCUAAGAUUGAUUCUUGGUGUUACGUUGAUAGUUAACCCAGUCAAGGAGGUUGCCCCAGCCCAUAUGGUUUUGUGCCCAACUCCUAUCUACCUAUCUUUUAGUCCCACGGACGCUAUAGUUGCAGGUACUCUUAUCGCUUUUCAUGAUAAGUCAAGUCACCCCACUUGAAUUCUGAAUUUUGGAGCUAAUAAUAACAUGACUGGUGAGCUUUCUACUUUUACCUCUUCUAUUAGUUUCAUAAAUCAAUCUGUUUGUAUUGCUGAUGGACCAUCUAUUCCCAUUUAUAGUCAGGGUGAUGCCCACUUUUCCACAGAUAUUACUCUUUCCUCAAUUUAUUAUGCUCUGAAUUUUGCCUAUAAUUUUCUUUCUGUUAGUUGUCUUGCAAAAAACCUUAAUUGUGCCGUUGUAGUCUUACCAUCUCGUUGUUUCUUGCAGGACUUGAUUUCGAAGAAGAUUCUUGGCAGGGGAUAUGAGAGUGAUGAACUGUACUACUUUGGGGAUCCGCCAACAUCUAUUGCUUUGUCCUUCAAUCUUCAAGCCUCUACUCUACCAGUCUUAGAGCCCUCCAUUUUAAGUUAGUCUAUAUUAAAUUCGUUUGUUUGUUCUAUUAAAACUUUAAAUUAGUGGCAUGCUCAUUUAGGGUAUGCAAUUUUUUUGUAUUUAUGUUGCCUUUUCUCCCAUCUUAAAAAGG
rnacentral:lncRNA from 1 species